rnacentral:misc_RNA from 1 species
GAUGAAGAACGUAGCGAAAUGCGAUAAGUAAUGUGAAUUGCAGAAUUCAGUGAAUCAUCGAAUCUUUGAACGCACAUUGCGCCCGCUAGUAUUCUGGCGGGCAUGCCUGUCCGAGCGUCAUUUCAACCCUCAAGCCCCCGGGCUUGGUGUUGGGGAUCGGCGAGCCUCCGCGCCCGCCGUCCCCUAAAUCUAGUGGCGGUCUCGCUGUAGCUUCCUCUGCGUAGUAGCACACCUCGCACUGGGAAACAGCGCGGCCACGCCGUUAAACCCCCAACUUCUGAACGUUUGACCUCGGAUCAGGUAGGAAUACCCGCUGAACUCAAGCAUAUCAAUAAGCGGAGGA